UACGAAGGGGGCUAGCGUUGUUCGGAAUUACUGGGCGUAAAGCGCACGUAGGCGGACAUUUAAGUCAGGGGUGAAAUCCCGGAGCUCAACUCCGGAACUGCCUUUGAUACUGGGUGUCUUGAGUGUGGAAGAGGUGAGUGGAAUUCUGAGUGUAGAGGUGAAAUUCGUAGAUAUUCGGAGGAACACCAGUGGCGAAGGCGGCUCACUGGUCCAUUACUGACGCUGAGGUGCGAAAGCGUGGGGAGCAAACAGG
rnacentral:rRNA from 1 species